rnacentral:rRNA from 1 species
AUUGAACGCUGGCGGCAUGCCUAACACAUGCAAGUCGAACGGGGCAGCAAUGCCUAGUGGCGGACGGGUGAGGAAUACGUAGGAAUCUGCCCUUAAGUGGGGGAUAACCAGGGGAAACCCUGACUAAUACCGCAUGAUCUCUUCGGAGCAAAUAGGGGGACCGCAAGGCCUCUCGCUUCUGGAUGAGCCUACGUCUGAUUAGCUAGUUGGUAGGGUAAAGGCCUACCAAGGCGACGAUCAGUAACUGGUCUGAGAGGAUGAUCAGUCACACCGGAACUGAGACACGGUCCGGACUCCUACGGGAGGCAGCAGUGGGGAAUAUUGGACAAUGGGCGCAAGCCUGAUCCAGCAAUGCCGCGUGUGGGAAGAAGGCCUUCGGGUUGUAAAGCACUUUAUCCUGGAAAGAAAAAACUUUGGUUAACACCCAAAGUCUUGACGGUACCAGGAGAAUAAGCACCGGCUAACUACGUGCCAGCCGCCGCAGUAAAAC